rnacentral:rRNA from 1 species
UGACGAGGAACCACGGUUCCGAAGUGAUUGAUAUCAAGCUUCCAGGAAAAGCCACUAAGCUUCAGUCUAGAGUUGACCGUACCGCAAACCGACACAGGUGGGCAGGAUGAAAAUUCUAAGGCGCUUGAGAGAACUCAGGAGAAGGAACUCGGCAAAUUAACACCGUAACUUCGGGAGAAGGUGUGCCCCGGUAGCGUGUAGAGACUUGCUCUCGAAGCGCGAUGGGGUUGCAGUGAAAUGGUGGCUGCGACUGUUUAAUAAAAACACAGCACUCUGCAAACACGAAAGUGGACGUAUAGGGUGUGACGCCUGCCCGGUGCCGGAAGGUUAAGUGAUGGGGUGCAAGCUCUUGAUCGAAGCCCCGGUAAACGGCGGCCGUAACAAUAACGGUCCUAAGGUAGCGAAAUUCCUUGUCGGGUAAGUUCCGACCUGCACGAAUGGCGUAACGAUGGCCACACUGUCUCCUCCUGGGACUCAGCGAAGUUGAAAUGUUUGUGAAGAUGCAAUCUACCCGCGGCUAGACGGAAAGACCCCAUGAACCUUUACUGUAGCUUUGCAUUGGACUUUGAACCGGUUUGUGUAGGAUAGGUGGGAGACUGUGAAGCCGGGACGCUAGUUUCGGUGGAGUCAACCUUGAAAUACCACCCUGAUUUGUUUGAGGUUCUAACCUUGGUCCGUGAAUCCGGAUCGGGGACCGUGCAUGGUAGGCAGUUUGACUGGGGCGGUCUCCUCCCAAAAGGUAACGGAGGAGUACGAAGGUACGCUUAGGGCGGUCGGACAUCGCCCACAAAGUGCAAUGGCAAAAGCGUGCUUGACUGCGAGACCCACAAGUCGAGCAGGUACGAAAGUAGGUCAUAAUGAUCCGGUGGUUCUGUAUGGAAGGGCCAUCGCUCAACGGAUAAAAGGUACUCUGGGGAUAACAGGCUAAUUCCUCCCAAGAGUUCAUAUCGACGGGGGAGUUUGGCACCUCGAUGUCGGCUCAUCACAUCCUGGGGCUGUAGUCGGUCCCAAGGGUAUGGCUGUUCGCCAUUUAAAGUGGUACGCGAGCUGGGUUUAAAACGUCGUGAGACAGUUUGGUCCCUAUCUGCCGUGGGCGCUGGAAAUUUGAAGGGGGCUGCUCCUAGUACGAGAGGACCGGAGUGGACGAACCUCUGGUGUACCGGUUAUGACGCCAGUCGUAUCGCCGGGUAGCUAAGUUCGGAAGAGAUAAACGCUGAAAGCAUCUAAGCGUGAAACUCGCCUUAAGAUAAGAUUUCCCGGAGUCUUGAACUCCCUGAAGGGUCGUCGAAGACCACGACGUUGAUAGGUCAGGUGUGGAAGCGCAGCAAUGCGUUAAGCUAACUGAUACUAAUUGCCCGUGCGGCUC